AAAAAUGGCAAUACUAUCGAUAACUGGCGUGCCGGGCCUGGGCGAGGUGAUGGCGCGGGCUUCGUGCCCGUGUCGAAUCCGAGCUCGGUCCCGUGCCUUGGCCUUCCGCGGAACUUCCUUCCUGCGAGGCGUCGGUUUGCCGCUCGCGUCGCGGCCGGCUGUCCUCUUCAGCCGCCAUUUAACGGUCAACUCAGAACUGGCACGGACUAGGAGAAUCCGACUGUCUAAUUAAAACAAAGCAUUGCGAUGGCCCCAGCGGGUGUUGACGCAAUGUGAUUUCUGCCCAGUGCUCUGAAUAUCAACGUGAAGAAAUUCAAGCAAGCGCGGGUAAACGGCGGGAGUAAUUAUGACUCUCUUUCGUGGAGUCAUAGAAGCGCCAACCACACCCCCUCCUCGUGGGUCCCGCCGGACAACAGACUUGUCUGGCUGAGAGUGUGGUGGCUAAUGGGUGGGGUGGGUUGCCAGCCCCCCCACCGACAGUUUUUGGCCCAAAAGAUACAAGAAAGCCUUGGAAAACCCCAGGAAACCAACAACCCGUUCCCCCUCCAAACCAUGCCUGCACCGAAUGCCCGGCGUAAUUUUCAACAAAGACAGGGCUUGGAGUUCAUAUGCGCGCUAAAAACCCCACCCAACUGGACGCUAGGCAAAUGCGCGUUGAUGUAAAAGCAAGAUGGACCGAGGAGGAGGUAAUGAUAGCCGGCACACAAGGAGGCCGAGAUCCUUUCACUG
rnacentral:ncRNA from 1 species